GCAUCAAUGGGGUAGUGGUAACCUGGGUCGUUGCCAUCGUUGCGAAGUGCGUGGUUUCGACCCGCCGGGGGUUCGAUUCCCUCUUGAUGCA